CAGUCGCCACGGGAAUACGAGGGGGGCAAGCGUUGUUCGGAAUUAUUGGGCGUAAAGGGCGCGUAGGCGGCUAAUUGAGUCGGAUGUGAAAUCCCCGAGCUUAACUUGGGAAUUGCAUUCGAUACUGGUUAGCUAGAGUGUGGGAGAGGAUGGUAGAAUUCCAGGUGUAGCGGUGAAAUGCGUAGAGAUCUGGAGGAAUACCGAUGGCGAAGGCAGCCAUCUGGCCUAACACUGACGCUGAGGUACGAAAGCAUGGGGAGCAAACAGGAUUAGAUACCCCCGUAGUCCCUGUCUCUUAUAC
rnacentral:rRNA from 1 species